rnacentral:rRNA from 1 species
GACGAACGCUGGCGGCGUGCCUAAUACAUGCAAGUAGAACGCUGAAGAGAGGAGCUUGCUCUUCUUGGAUGAGUUGCGAACGGGUGAGUAACGCGUAGGUAACCUGCCUUGUAGCGGGGGAUAACUAUUGGAAACGAUAGCUAAUACCGCAUAACAAUGGAUGACACAUGUCAUUUAUUUGAAAGGGGCAAUUGCUCCACUACAAGAUGGACCUGCGUUGUAUUAGCUAGUAGGUGAGGUAAUGGCUCACCUAGGCGACGAUACAUAGCCGACCUGAGAGGGUGAUCGGCCACAAUGGGACUGAGACGCGGCCCAGGCUCCUACGGGAGGCAGCAGUAGGGGAUCUUCGGCAAAGGGGGCAAGCCGGAACGAGCAACGCCGCGUGGGUGAAGAAGGGUUUCGGGUCGUAAAGCUCUGUUUUAAGUCGAGAACGGGUGUGCGAGUGGAAAGUUCACACUGUGACGGUAGCUUACCAGAAAGGGACGGCUAACUACGUG